rnacentral:lncRNA from 1 species
GGGCAAUACAGCACAUCUACGGUGAAAGCUUCAGGUUACUGAAAGGGACCAGCGGACAGUUCCAGGUCAUGCUGACCUCAGCAGAAGGGCGAGGCCAGAGAGGCAGCGGUCAUAUGAGAGUAGUAGAUGCCAUUUGAUCAUUUGGGCCAUUAGAUGGAAAGGCAAUUACUUGGGUGAAAAAGGAGAACCCUUAGUAGAGAAAGCUGCAAAAGACCGAAGCAAAAGAAAAAAAUCUCCAGACUCACUGGUGUUCCUUAAAAAACGAGCUCUGGUUCUCGGCCUAUCUAGAGGGCUGUGAAUGACACAAAGCCUGACCCUGCGAUGAACUUCGUGUUUCAGGCGUCUGCGGAUUUGUCUGCUGGCUUGCAGGGGUGGGCCUGUGUCCCUGGCCACUGCUGGACCUGUGGUUUUCAGGGCUGGGACCUAGGACCACAGGCAGAGCUCUGUUCGACCAGAGAGGAGACUGAGUGUGCUGGCAGGGGUGAGGGGUUUUCCGUGGCCCAGCCAAACACCACCUUCUCUCAACGGCCCUGUCCUCAUCCCAGAAGUGGUUGUUUUCCUCCUGUGGUCUCUGAAACACACAGGCAUGGCUCUGGGACAGAGCCAUGUGGUGACGACUGUAAUGGGAGUAUGCCUGUCUCCAAAAAGAGGGCUGUGGCUUGAAGGUCAGCUUAAGAGGCACCCCUGUCCUUUGAUGUCACCCUGGAGGCCCAGAGUAACUCUUCUGGAAGCCCCAUCAUGUCCAUGCCCGACAGCGUCCAUUGUUCCCUUUUCCCAGAGCCAAGAGCUGGUUAGAGCUGCAAGGACACCACCUGCACAGGAUGCCCGGGGCUGGGCAUUACCUGCUGCAAUGACAACAUCUGGCUGGAUGGCAGAGAGCUGAUGGACCGUUGCGACGUCCCAGUCCAGCUGGGCCACUGUCACCCUGGGGCUAAGUUGGCAGUGAUAUCUGCCCCUAAUGAGAGGCCAUUGAGAAGGACAUUCCCUCAGAGCUGCUAGAGGACCCGGCUGUGACAGUCGCUGAAGAUGUAUGCCCGGGGGCGGCACAUCUUGCAGAUGGCCAGGCCUGUGAGGCCGGCACCACUGCCAAGCUCUAGGACAGUCCUGGCGGGAGGAAAGGGGAUCAUGUCUGCAACUGCACCAGGGUAAGCCUGCCUCGGUGCCCUGCCCUGUGCCCUGAGGUCACCUAUCAGUGAAGGCUGCUGGGUUCUAGAUGGCCCAUUCUGCAAGGUAGAGGGUGGCAUCCCAUGUGACCAGGACUGUGAUGCCGUGGGAGAUGAUGGCUGUGCUCUUGGAGAGUGUGACUGAGCCUCCCGAGGGCAGCACCAAGAGAAGGCGAGAGAGUCAGUCCAGCGAUCAGAAGGCAAGUGGCUUAGAAGACAAGCAGCCAUCCACUACAUGGCUGAAUAAAUCAUGACAGGACCAAUCGCCACUCAGCAAUGAGAAGCAGCUAACUGUUGACAUGCCAACAGCUUGCACAGGCCUCAAGGGUGUCACAUGGCAUGAAAGACACUCAUCUCAGGCCACACAGGAUUCCAUUCAUUGAACAUUCCUGAGACAAUGGAAUUCUGGCGAUGGAGCACAGCUCUGUUCCCCACGCUGGAGUC